AAUCAUUUAUAAAAGCCCUGUAUAUGUUCAUCAGAGUGUUCAUUAGUGAUUAAAAAAAACGAAAAAUCAAUCAUGGCACACCAUAUCCCUAAAUGUAUAUCUCAAAAAUUGUCCCCGGACGACAUAACCUUGCUGCAGAUGGUAAUUGAUCACUUACAAGAUUCUCUAAAAAUGGACAAAGUAAAACUAGAAGCGGAAUUGAAUAACACUAAACAAUCUCUGGAAAUGGAUAAAGUAAAACUAGAAAUGGAAUUCAAUAACGUUAAACAAUCUCUAGAAAUGGACAAAGUAAAACUAGAAAUAGAAUUGAAUAACGCUAAAGA